GGUCGAGUACGCAAAUACCGGUAAAGCGGCCAUCUUGAGAGGAUGGUGAUUGUCUGUGGGUUCGACUCCCACCUCGACCA
rnacentral:tRNA from 1 species